GGACUAUUAGCUCAGCUGGUUAGAGCGCUGUGUUGAUAACGCAGAGGUCCCAGGUCCGAGUCCUGGCUGAGUACU
rnacentral:tRNA from 1 species